CCGUAAGGGGAAUGAUGUAUUACUAUAGGGCACUUAAGAUGCUUGCUUAUCUUGACGGUGCAUCUGAGAUAGAUAUUCGA
rfam:Daucus carota subsp. sativus cultivar DH1 chromosome 8, whole genome shotgun sequence.